rnacentral:rRNA from 1 species
CAGCCGCCGCGGUAAUACGUAGGGUGCAAGCGUUAAUCGGAAUUACUGGGCGUAAAGCGUGCGCAGGCGGUUUGUUAAGACAGAUGUGAAAUCCCCGGGCUCAACCUGGGAACUGCAUUUGUGACUGGCAAGCUAGAGUGUGGCAGAUGGGGUGGAAUUCCGCGUGUAGCAGUGAAAUGCGUAGAUAUGCGGAGGAACACCGAUGGCGAAGGCAGCCCCCUGGGCCAACACUGACGCUCAUGCACGAAAGCGUGGGGAGCAAACAGGAUUAGAUACCCCGGUAGUCCCUGUCUCUUAUACA